AACCAACAGGGAUUGCCUUAGUAGCGGCGAGUGAAGCGGCAAAAGCUCAAAUUUGAAAUCUGGCACUUUCAGUGUCCGAGUUGUAAUUUGAAGAAGGUAUCUUUGGGUCUGGCUCUUGUCUAUGUUUCUUGGAACAGAACGUCACAGAGGGUGAGAAUCCCGUGCGAUGAGAUGUCCCAGACCUAUGUAAAGUUCCUUCGAAGAGUCGAGUUGUUUGGGAAUGCAGCUCUAAGUGGGUGGUAAAUUCCAUCUAAAGCUAAAUAUUGGCGAGAGACCGAUAGCGAACAAGUACAGUGAUGGAAAGAUGAAAAGAACUUUGAAAAGAGAGUGAAAAAGUACGUGAAAUUGUUGAAAGGGAAGGGCUUGAGAUCAGACUUGGUAUUUUGUAUGUUACUCUCUCGGGGGUGGCCUCUACAGUUUACCGGGCCAGCAUCAGUUUGAGCGGUAGGAUAAGUGCAAAGAAAUGUGGCACUGCUUCGGUAGUGUGUUAUAGUCUUUGUCGAUACUGCCAGCUUAGACUGAGGACUGCGGCUUCGGCCUAGGAUGUUGGCAUAAUGAUCUUAAGUCGCCCGUCUUGAAACACGGACCUCCUGUGUGAAGGGGA
rnacentral:rRNA from 1 species